rnacentral:rRNA from 1 species
UACGGAAGGCAGCAGUGGGGAAUAUUGCACAAUGGGCGCAAGCCUGAUGCAGCCAUGCCGCGUGUAUGAAGAAGGCCUUCGGGUUGUAAAGUACUUUCAGUCGUGAGGAAGGUGUUAAGGUUAAUAACCUUAGCAAUUGACGUUAGCGACAGAAGAAGCACCGGCUAACUCCGUGCCAGCAGCCGCGGUAAUACGGAGGGUGCGAGCGUUAAUCGGAAUUACUGGGCGUAAAGGGCACGCAGGCGGUUAAUUAAGUUGGAUGUGAAAUCCCCGGGCUUAACCUGGGAAUGGCAUUCAAGACUGGUUAGCUAGAGUCUUGUAGAGGGGGUAGAAUUCCAUGUGUAGCGGUGAAAUGCGUAGAGAUGUGGAGGAAUACCGGGUGGCGAAGGCGGCCCCUGGGACAAGACUGACGCUCAUGUGCGAAAGCUGGGGAGCAACAGGAUUAGAUACC